UCAGACAUCUGUGUGUCCAGCCAUCAAACAGGACUUGAAAACCAGCAUCAACAACGAACAGAUUCUCAGGAAAGUGAGUGUGUGGCCUCCUCUUCUUACUCUUCUCUGAAAGGAACUGACUAAGGUUUACUCCUUAGGAACAUGGGUCCUCAGAACUCUCCAGCCCAAACUGGUGGUGUCAUCUCCUCUGCUUCCUGCCUGAAUGAAGUCCAAAGCCUGCCUCCGGUACCCAGGCUAUGUUCAGUACUUCUGCCUUCCUCCUCCUACCUCCAAAUCUACUCAUCCCAGUCCUGCAGCAGGCCUGCCUUUUCUCAUACCACUUUACAUCUGGAAUAGCCAACCUGCCCCUCCCACUCUACAUCUGGAAAGCCCAGCUCAAAAGCACCAUUUUUGUCAUCAUUGCCCCUCUCCCCAGGUCUUUCUAAUUCCUUCCUUCGCAUUGCUUCUCUGGACUCCCCCACACACCUCCCUGCUCAUCCCAAAUUCAGGAGCUUCUCAGAGCCAUCGUUUUGUGGUAAAAUAAUUACUACUUUAUUUGUAUUCUAUACUUCUUAUCAUUAACCUCCACUACUUAAUCAUAAGAGUUAAUUAUAAGCCUUGUUCAAAUUUAUAGUCCCUUCAGCAAUGUUUUCUAAACAUUUUAAAUUACAAUCACUGUCAGAAAUACAGUUAACUUUGGGAUGCCUGGGUAGCGCAGUCAAUUAAGUGUCUGACUUUGGCUCAGGUCAUGAUCUUGUGGUUCGUGAGUUUGAGCCCUGAUUUGGGCUCUGCAUUGACAGCACAGAGCCUGGAGCCUGCUUCAGAUUCUGUGCCUCCCUCUCUCUUUCUGCCCCUACCCCCCCCUCAAAAAUAAAUAAACAUUGAAAAAAAGAAGAAGAAGAAAUACAGUUAACAUCACGACCCAAUAUUAAGUACUGGAGUGAAUCAUAAGACUACAGGGGCUGUUUAUGUCGGGUGGGUUGCUUUGGUUGGGUCUCCAUUUUGAUUUUGAGCAUCACUAAAAUAAAAGUCUCAUGAGAUGUUUAUUCUUUACUACAUAGGAUACACUCAGAUAAUUUCUCUUCUAUUUCAUUCAUUCAAGAAAGAAAAAAAGCUGGUUACAGCCUACUCAAUUUAUUUCCUAACCCAAUAAUGGGUAGUAACCUAUUGGAAAAAUCACUGCCCUGUGAGAUUUUUCACGGGGCUUCACAUAUGGCAGGAACUCCAUAAGUUUUUGUUGAAUUACCACCCCAAUGCACAUGUGAUCCAAGGUUAAUUACUAUUUUAAAUGUUCUAAUGUUGUCUAAUGACAAUAUUCUUUUUCUACAUAUUCAGAUGCAUGGACAUGUCUUUAUGAUUCCCACCUGUAAUUUUUUUCUGACACUCCAGUUUAUGCUUGUAAGACCUGAUGACUCCCCACCAAGCAUCCUGCCAAUUUCCUUGGAACCUUUGCUCAUGACAAUUCGAGAUGAGUGUUACCUGCUGGGGAAAGAGAUCUGUAUCUGGGGCCUUCAGCUGAGUAACCCAGAGAUUGCCAGACUGGUGAGUCAUGCGUUUUAAAAAUAUUCCUUCAAUUAAACUUAAAAUUGAAUAUAAACAUAAUAUAUCUGUAUUCCAGCUAUAGUUCAUUUGGUUAUUGACUGAUAUGCUAUAAGCUUUUCUUUAAAAAUUUCUUUUAAUGUUUAUUUAUUUUUGAGACAGAGAAAGACAGAGAAUGAAUGGGGGAGGGUCAGAGAGAGGGAGACACAGAAUCUGAAGCAGGCUCCAGGCUCUGAGCUGUCAGCACAGAGCCCGACGCAGGGCUUGAACUCACGGACCAUGAGAUCAUGACCUGAGCCGAUGUCGGACAUUUAACUGACUGAGCCACCCAGGUGCCCCUACAAGCUUUUCUUUAAAAAAACAUGUAUUUUUUAACGUUUUAUUUAUUUAUUUUUUUUUUGGGACAGAGAGAGACAGAGCAUGAACGGGGGAGGGGCAGAGAGAGAGGGAGACACAGAAUCGGGAACAGGCUCCAGGCUCUGAGCCAUCAGCCCAGAGCCUGACGUGGGGCUCGAACUCACGGACCGUGAGAUCGUGACCUGGCUGAAGUCGGACGCUUAACCGACUGCGCCACCCGGGCGCCCCAAAACAUGUAUUUUUUAAAAGUAUAUUUAUUUUUUUUGAGAGAGAGAGAACACAAGCAGGAGAGGGGCAGAGAGAGAGGGAGAGAAUCCCAAGCAGGCUCCACUCUGUCAGCACAGAGCCUGAUGUGGGGCUUGAUAUCACAAACCCAUGAGAUCAUGACCUGAGCCUAAAUCAAGAGUGGGAUGCUUAACCAACUGAACCACCCAGGUUCCCCAAAACAAUGUGUAUUUUUUUUAAUAAAUUUUUUAAUGUUUAUUUUUGAGAGAGAGAGAGAGAGAGAGGGAAUGCAAGCAAGUGGGGGAAGGUCAGAGAGAGGGAGACACAGAAUCCGAAACAGGCUCCAUGCUCUGAGCUGUCAGUGCAGAGCCUGACACAGGACUCAAACCCACAAACCGCGAGAUUAUGACCUGAGCUGACGUUGGACACUUAGUUGACUGAGCCACCCAGAUGCCCCCAAAACAAUGUAUUUUUAAUGAAGCAUUUCAAACUUAUGUAAAAGUGCAAAAAAUAAAAAAGAAAUUAUGGUAUAUUCAUAUAGUAGGAAACUGUAUAGCAAUGAAAAUACAUCAACUACAGCUAUGCAAAAACAAAAUAGGGUGACUCUCAUAAGCCUAAUGUACAAGUGAAGAAAGACACAAAAGAAUACAUGCUAUAUGUUGCAUUUUAUAAAGUUUAAAAACAGGUAAAACUAUAAUGUUUGACUAUUAUAAAAUUACUUUUAGGGAGGAGAAAGGAGGUAGAAAUUGGGAGAGGACAUUAGUGCCCAUUUUUCUAGUUUCUUGACUAUUGGAAAAUGCCUUGUUUUAUGUCAUUGAAUGUGUUAAACUUCUCAUCUGUGUCUAAUAGUUUCAAUAAUCUGAAUUAUUUUGCAGUCUGAUACUGCUGACUGGCUUCUACUGGCUCCUACUCAUGGGACAUUAUGUGUUUUUGUGAUUUCUUUUGUACUAGAAACUCAUAUUUCCUGGGGAAAGAGUUGAGGCAAUUCCUUGAGCUCUGAUUUGAAGAUAGAAUCCUCCGAGAGGGUUUGCAUUUGCUUCUGCCACACACUCAGGGUGAUAGCAUCUCAGGGCUAUACUAAAUUACUAAUUUUUUUUAAGUUAUUUAUUUUUUGAUGGCGGGGGGAAGGACAGAGAGAGAGAGGGAAUCCCAAGCAGGCUCUGAUCUGACAGGGCUCGAACUCACGAACCUUGAGAUCAUGACCUGAGCCGACGUCAGAUGCUUUAACCCACUGAGCCACUCAGGUGCCCCAAAUUAAUACAUUCUUGAUCUGAGGUCUCUGAACCAUCCAGGUGGUAUCAGUUCAGUGUGCAAAUACCUGUGUUAAGACUAGCUUGUGAGUUCAUAGUGGGUAUAUUUUUUUCUGUGUAGUCAGGCACAGUUUGAGAGGCAGUUUUCCCUGGGGAAAGAAGAGUUAGGUUUCUUUCUAGUUCAUCCUUAGUCUAAGGACGUAGUGCAGUAGCUCACUUUAUGUUUGGGGCCAUACCUUUAUGCAGCAUUUCCUCUCAGACUCCUCACCUCCAGUGGCCUUGGGCUUUAUCUCUUGUCCCCUGGACUACCUGAUCCAUGAAAAGCAAAACUUGACUCUGCUGCUUCACUGAUGCUCUCAAACGGAAAGCUGGCUUCAGUGCCCUGCAAAUCUCCCUAGGUUCCCAUUUUCUCUCAUGCACCGACCUUUGGGUAUUCCUCACUAACCUGCCAAUUGACACAUUUUAAAAAGAUAUUUUUAAAACUCUGAGAAGAAAGCAUAGAGGAAAAGCUUCAUAAUGUUGGACUUGGCAGUCAUUUCUUGUAUAUGACACUAAAAGCAUAGGCAACAAAACUAAAUGAUUUGGACAAAAAAAUUUUCAACUUCCGUGCAUCAAAGGACACAGUGAAGUGAAAAGGCAACCCGCAAAAUAAGGAAAAAUAAUUGCAAAUCAUGUAUUUGAUAAGGGGUUAGUAUUCUGGAUGUAUAAAGAACUCCUGCAAUUCAACCACAACAAAAAACAAACAACUGAUUUAGAAAUGGGCAAAAGACUUGAGUACACUUUCUCCAAAGAAGGUAUACAAACAAACAAUAAGCACACAAAAAAUGUUCACCAUCACUAUCUUUGGAGAAAUGCAAGUCAAAACUACAUUGAGAUACUACCUCAGGUCAAAUAGUAUGGCAUCUAUCAAAAAAAGCAGAAUAGAAUGGGUUGACAGGAUGUGGAGAAAUUGGAAAAUUUGUACACUAUUGGCAGGAAUGUGCAUUGGUGCAGACACUAUGGGAAAUGGGAUGGAGGUUCCUUAAAAAAAUUAAAAAUAGAAUUACCAUAUGAUUCAACAAUUCCACUUCUGGAGAUAUACCCAAAAGAAUUGGAAGCAGGACCUCAAAGAGAUAUCUGUAUGCUCAUCUUCAUGGUUGCAUUAUUCACAAUAGUCAAAGGUGGAAGCAACCCAAAUGUCCAUUGGCAGAUGAAUGGAGAACAAACUGUGGUGGAUACAUACAAUGGAAUAUUAUGCAGCCCUACAAAGGAAGGAAAUUCUGACCCAUGCUACAACAUGCAUGAACCUCGAAGAACUUAUGCUAAGUAAGAGAAGUCAGUCACAAAAGGACAAAUAUUAUAUCCUUCCCCUAUAUGAAGUACCCAGAGUAGUCAAACUCGUAGAGACACAAAAUAAAAUGGCAGUUGCCGGAGGUUUGGAGGAGGGGAGAAUGGGAGUUAUUUUUUAAUGGGUAUAGAGUUUCAGUUUUACGAGAUGAAAAAACUUCUGGAGGUGAAUGGUGUUGAGGGUUGCACAACAAUGUGAAUAUACUCAAUGCCAUUGAACUGGACACUUAAAAAUGGUUAAGAUGGGGGCAUCUGGGUGGUUCAGUCGGUUAAGCAUCUGACUUUGGCUCGGGUCAUGAGCAGGACUUUGGCUCGUGAGUUCAAGUUCCAUAUUGGGUCCUUCCCCAGCUUGUGCUCUCAAUCUCUCUCAAAAAUAACGUUAAAAAAAAUGGUUAAGAUGGUAAAUUUUUUAAAUGUUUAUUUUUGAGAGAGAGAACGGGAGUGGGGGAGGUGCAGAAAGAGAGGGGGACAGAGGAUCCUAAGUGGGCUUCACAGUGGCAGAAGUGGAGCUUGAAUCUAUGAACCUACUAGGUCAUGAUCUGAGCCAAAGUCGGCUACUUAACCGACUGAGCCACCCAUGUGCCCCUAAGAUGGUAAAUUUUAUUGUGCAUUUGACCGCAAUUAAAAAUAAAUUUUAAAAAGUUAUCUUAAAUACAGAACCAGAAUUUUUAGUUGUUUUUAUUAAAAGGGUCAGUCCAUUUAAGCAGGAAUAGAAUGCUGUCCAUCCAUGCAUAUUAAAAGUGAUCGUUAAAAAAAAAAAGUGAUCCUUAACAGUUCUUUAAAAUGUAACCCUCUUGGUCACCUGGAGGCUGCUAAGGAAUUCUGUGGUAGAUGGCUGUGGUCUUGCCCACAGCAGUACUGGUGCCCCAGGGAGUGACACUGUAAACCACUGGCCAAGAUCUUUAGGACGUGGUCAAGAGCCUAUUUUGCACAGACCAGUGUUACCAUAGGCAGUGACAUGCCACAUUGCCUCCUUGGUCAGAAACACAGCUUGAGAAAUCCAAUCCAGCACUUAAACUAGGUGUUUUCUCAUUAAAGAGGCCUCAAGCACCAGCUCUCUAUAGUUAAGGCUGCAAGGGCUUUUAUAUUCUCAACCGACAUAUAAAUUUGGAAUGUUAUCUCUGACCAACAUGUCAUUACCUCAAGAAACCCUAAAUCCUCCAAACCCCACAAAAGCCUCUUUUAGGUUUAAAUGCUGAACUGAAGAAAUCCUUAAGUUGUGGUGAUUCUAAUUGCUAAAAGGUGGCCUUUGUGAUUUAUAGCUUUAAAUACCUUCUCCAGUUAGGUAGGGAUUUAAUUGUCACUGGAAUCCUGUUACCACAAGGAAUGGCCUUCCCAUAGAUCUCUCCAUUCAGGAGACCGAGAGAACUUGAGAUGGUUCCAAAUGUUCAUGUGUUGCCCCCGGUCCUGUGGCUUCACCAUGAAAAGCACCUCAUUGCUGAAUUUACACAGUCUAGUUCUGCGUAGACCUCUAAAUGCUAAUAUCUGGGGACACCUGGGUGUCUCGGUCAGCUGGGCGUCCGACUUCAUCUCAGGUCAUGAUCUCAAGGUUCAUGAGCUCAAGCCCGACAUCGGGUUCUGUGCUGACAGCUCAGAGCCUAGAGCCUGCUUCUGAUUCUGUGUUUCCUCUCUCUCUGCCCCUCCCCUGCUCACAGUCCCUCUCUUUCUCUCUCUCUCUCUCUCUCUCUCUCUCUCUGUCUCUCUCUCUCUCAAAAAUAAACAAACAUUAAAAAAAAUAAAUCUUAAUAUCUGUAAUAAUGGCUAUCACUUGUUUAGGAGAUAAUUUAACUAUUAUAAUGUUGCCUAAUUGUAAGAAGAUUGGCAUAGUGAUAGUUCUUUACUAAAAAAAAUACAACUGUUACAGGAUUUUUUUUUACCUCAAUACCCAGGAUUCCUUAUCGCUUUGAGGAACGAAGAAGGGGACACAGAGUAAAAUGAGCAGCAGGCAAAAGUAUAAGAUCAGAAAGUAAGAAUAGUAGGAAAGCUCUUUUUGCAGAGAGGGAGCAUUUGAAAAUAAAUACCCCCAACUAUAGGCAAGGGUCUUUGUUUUUUAAGGUUUUGGUCAAUGCCCCCUCCCCUUCCCCCUCGUUCCUUGUCAGGUUCCACCCUUACCGGCUGGAUAGCUCUAGGUGCUGGGCUGUCCCUUCCAGAUUGGCUUCAUUCCAUUGUGUGAGGAGUCAGAGCGGUCUUACUGUCCCUCAGAUAACAUAAAUUUUAUGGUUUAUUUAGUUUUGUUAGGUAUUUUGAUUGUCUAAUUCCUGAGGGGAACCUGAAGGGCGGUAGGUGGUGUUUGUUACAUUCUUAAGAGGAACUUUAUGCCUGAGUGAGUUUGCUGUGGUCAGAUACUCCCAGCAUUGUUCCAAAAUAUGUGUUUUUACCCCACCCAGGGACCUCAGGUCCUAACCUUUCCUUCUCUGCCUAUUUUAUCCUAUCUCCCUAUCAUACAACCAUAGGAAAAUAAAUUUGUUGGUUAGAGUAUCAACAUCUGUAUUAGUCUGCUGGGGCUGCCAUAACAAAGUACCACAGAUUGCAAGGGUUAAACAACAGAAACUUCUUUUCUCACAGUUAAAGGCUUAGAAGUCUGAGCUCAGGGUGUCAGCAGGGUUGGCGUCUUUGAAGGCCUCACUCCUUGGCCUGUAAAUGGCCACUUUUUCCCUGUGUUUUCAUGUUGCCUCCCUCUCUAUACGUGCCUGUGUCUAAAUAUCCUUUCCUUAUAAGAAAGUCAGUCAUAUUGGGUAAGAGCCCACCCUAAUGACCUCAUUUUAAAUUCAUACCUCCUUGAAGACCCUUUUUCCGAAUGCAGUCACAUUCUGAGGUACUAGGGGGUAAGACUUCGGCAUAUGAAUGAGGGGAAUGACACAAUUCAGCCCACAGCAUCUAAAAAGAUAUGCUGCAGUAUAUCUCAUCACAGAGCGGCAUUUCCCAUUUAAUUCUUCAUAGUGUGCCUUUAAAAAAUUUUUUUAACAUAUAUUCAUUUUUGAGAGACAGAGAGAGAGAGAGCAUGAAUGAGGGGGAGGCAGAGAGAGAGGGAGACAUAGAAUCCGAAGCAGGCCCUAGGCUCCGAGCUGCCAGCACAGAGCCCUACGCGAGGCUUGAACUCACGGACCCGCAAGAUCAUGACCUGAGCCGAAGUCGGACACUUAACCAACUGAGCCACCCAGGCGCCCCUAGAGUCUUCCUUUUAAAGGGAAAUUAUUUUAUCUUCAUGUCACUUUCUCCUUGGACAUUGGAAAGUUGUGUUAAAGGCAAAAAUGUUGGGGUAAUUAACGUAAUCAACUUUUAAGAAACAUUAAAACACAGAGCGUAUUUGUCUUCAUUGUGUAAGCCCUUUCUCACCUCAUGUUCUUAGGCUUCACUUCUGGAAUUGAAGGGGUGCGCCACCUGCCCAUUUACCACCCUGGAACUCAUUGACUGCAGGAUGGAUCUGUGGUCUCUGCAGAGGCUGGGCAGGGCUCUGCCAUGCAGCUAUUUGCAUUCUCUUGUCCUGGAUUACUGCAGGUGAGUUUGGAAGGCAGAGUUCCUUCAGGGCUCUGACUGCUGAGGGAGGCAAAGGUAAGGAGCUCAGAGUCCUGGUUCCUUGUGGCUCAUCAGGUCAUCACAACUCAAAAACCUUCUUAGAACUAAUGUUUCUGAGUAAAUGUCAGGGUUCUCAAAAGGAUUCUUCCUUCCUCCCUCCCUCCCUCCCUCCCUCCUGCCCUUCCUUCUUAUUCAUUUAUUCUUUUAACAAAUAUUUAUUGAUGGCUUGUUUUUGCAAGACACUGUGCUCAGUGCUAAAGAAGAUACAAAUAUAUAUAAAGCAAUGCCACUGUCCAAGGAAGUCCUCUGUAUAGUGGAAGAGAGGAGAUAUGCUCUUGAUUAUGUAUAACGGAAGGUAGAUCACAAAGGAUGUCCGUAUAAAUUUUUUUUUAUUAUUUUUUUAUUUUUUACAGAGAAAGAGAGCACAUGUGCAUGGGGCAGAGGGACAGAGGGAGAGAGAGAGAGAGAGAGAGAGAGAGAGAGAGAGAAUCUCAAGCACACUCCAUGCUCAGUGUGGAGCCCUACAUAGGUCUCAAUCCCAUGACCCUGGGAUCACACCCAAGCCAAAAUCGAGAAUCAGAUGCCCAACCCACUGAGUCACCCAGGUGCCGGGUUUGUAUAAAUUUUAGUCGUGGUUUGGAUAAGGGAAACCAUGAUUCCCUAAGGGACAAGUCAUUAUUCACCAGCAGAGGAGGUGGGAGGAGAGGUGUGGUGCUAGGGAAGAAAGAGGAAGUCUUUCGAAGGCUAUGGCACCAGGCUGUCAGGAGAGAGUCAGGGAGCAAUAAUAAUAAUGACAAUACCAGCUAAUUUUUAUUGAGCGCUGUGUGCCAAGUACAGCACAUGGAUUAUCUCAUUUAUUCUCCCGACAAUAGAUAUAUACCGUUACAUAUGGACGUAUGAUAUAUGACAGAUGUUUAUCAUUUCUAUCCCUUGACUAUAGAUGAGCAAAGACUCAGGGGAUUAAUUGGCUUGUUCCAGGCAUUCACCUCUUAGGGAUAGAGCCUAGAUGUGAAUCUAGCUGGCUGAAUCGGAGCCCACUUCUGAUCCGUGAUACUAGAUUGCUGGAGGGUCUAUAGUUUGCCAUCCGUAAAUAAUUUUAAGCUGCUUGUGUGAUGCGGGGUAGGUCGUGCAACCUCUCUGACCUAUGAGGUGAUCUCGUCCACUUCCCAAGUCUUUGAUUCUGUGACUCUUCUUCUGGAGCCAGGUAGGGUCCUGUACUCAGAAGGCCAGUGGGCUGUGAAGUGAAAGAGAUGAUUCGUGCCUGACAAAUGGGACCACAGUGACACAAAGGCCCCUUUAAAGAACUAGGGUCUUAUUAGGGCCCUGGUGGUGACAGUGGACAAGUCUCCAGCAAAAGCUGAGGAGAAGGACUAUCUCUGGAGGUUCUCCAUGUUUCUGAAAAGCUUGGAGGAGCCUGAGUCAGGGUCUCCUAACACAGGACAGCAGAAAGCCAGUGCCCUCAGGACACCCUGCAGUGACUGAAGACCGACUUGGGAGUCUCCCAGCUUCCCGCACUGCGCUAGACAGACCCAGCCCCGCUGCUGAGACCCCUCUAGACUCCAGCUCCUCCAUUGGUGGGGAGAGAGAAGGAAGAAAGAGGGAAUCCUCCUCUUUAGAAAACACCAUAUUUUAAUUGUUGUUUAAUAUGUUAACACCAUAUUUUAAUAGUUGAAAUCCUGCUGCUGCCAAGACACCUGGAGUUGUCAGUGUUGGGUGGUUGGGAAUCACCACUGGUGAAAUGGCAGGUUACGGAGGGACUGGAGUUCUUUCCUCCUAUUUUCCCUGAGGCUGUGAAGUCUACCAGGCAGGAUGUCCUUCUUUCUCAUACACAGCUACACCCCCACACCCACCACGGUAGUCACCCACUGUAAUUACUUAUUGGAUAAACUAGUAAAUUUAAGAAGUUGUUUCUGUUAAUACGACUCACCUUAUUGGAAAGGUCAUCCCUUGACAUUCCAAAUUCCCUGGCAUGAUGCUUGUGCCUUCUCUCUGCAAACUCCAAGGACUGGGUGGCACAAGGCGAGGAGCAGCAUGGGGCCAGGAAGGAGGGCCAUAGAGGUUGAACUUUCCUGAACCUGCUCUGGACAUACUUUUUAUUUUUUAAUGUUUAUUUUUGAGAGAGAGAGAGAGCACAAGCGGGGGGGCGCAGAGAGAGAGGGGGACACAGAAUCCAAAGCAGGCUCCAGGCUCUGAGCUGUCAGCACAUCGCCCGUCACGGGGCUUGAACCUACAAACCAUGAAAUCUUGACCUGAGCCAAAGUCGGACGCUUAACUGACGGAGCCACCCAGGCGCUCCUGCUCUGGACGCACUUUAAAAGGCUCCCUUCUUACACAGCCUCCUGCUGCUGGAGUCUUCUCAGACCCCUCCACUCCUGUCAGCUGGGCAAUCUCUCCUGUCUUCAGGAUCCAGAGCUUGCUCUCCAUCUGCUCCUUUGGGUAUUUCAAACCAUGCUCUGCUCCCUUUGCCCACGAGUCAAACUCUGGGUCCCCCUUCCUCCACAUGCAGGCUGUCCCCAUCAGUCACCCAGCCCACCCCCAUAGCCACCCCGGCUGUGGAAGCCCAAAGUGGGGGUCGGCAAAAUCCGAUCUGCCUUGGGGGGUCAGGGAGUGCCUUAAAAUGAAUAAUCCAACAGGUGACAUAGGUUUUAAAAGUCACUAUUUGUUCCCAUUUCUUUCUAGAUUUAGAAAUGAAGAAAUUGAGAGUAUUUUCUCAGGCCUGGAGAACAACCAAAGGCUUCAAGUCCUCAGUCUGCGCUACUGUGGUCUGGGGCCACAAAACGGGCCACGGCUGGGCUCCAUCAUAUGCCAGAGCUCCAUUUGGUGAGAUGCGUCCCCUGCUCCCCUCCUGCUUCUGGCUCUGUUCUGUCUUGAAUUGUAGAAUCAGCUUGUUUACAGAGUCUACGAACCCAUGAAUUCCCCUGAGUUUUCACGAUGUUUUUAGUCAUCUUUUUCUACUGUCUAGUUACUUUUGUUUUCUUUUUCUUAACUGCAAGAGAAAGAUCCUUUAGUUACAUUUAAGAAUCAAGGGUAACAUGCUAAACGCAUAUCUUUGGCCCGAUGACAUGGUCAUUAGGUCUAUUUUUGACCAUGUGGUCUGCUAUCUAUUAUGAUUAUUUAUUAUUUUGUAACCAGGUCUAUUAUGAGGUAAGACCUCAAAUCCAAAUUUGAGGAAGUGAAAAUAGUAUCAGGUGAACAGUGUUUUUCACCUCUUCCCCAGUGAGCUGCACCUUGAUGGCAAUUACUUACAGUGUUCUGGAGCCCUGGCUCUCCUCAGACCCAUAGCAGAGUACGCAGAGAUGCAGGGGAAAGACCAGCCAGACACCAGGAACUCCCCUCAGCAGCUGCAGGGUAAGUGCUGGGGAACUUCGCUCAACACUCUUUGGGACCACCUAAAGAAGGAAACUGCUUUGUGAUUAAAGUGACCUUUCCUUGGGUGCCUGGGAUGGCUCAGUCGGUUAAGUGUCCACCUUUGGCUCAGGGCAUGAUCUCAUGGUUCGUGAGUUCAAGCCCCAUGUCGGGCUCUGCGCUGACAGCUCAGAGCCUGGAGCCUGCUUCGGAUUCUGUGUCUCCCUCUCUCUCUCUCUGCCCCUCCUCGCUUGUUCGCGCGCUCUGUCUCAAAAAUAAGCAUUUUUUAAAAAGGGACCUUUCCAGUGGUCAGUGGAAAUUCUUCUUCCUGAGUAUGCAUGAGAGUAGAAUAACGGACCCCCAACAAUGUCUUUGUCCUCAGAACCUGUGUUGGUGUUAACCUCACAUGGCGAAAGGGACUGUGCAGAUAUGAUAAAGUUGAGGACCUUGAGAUGGGGGCUUACACUGGAUCAUAUGGGUGGGUCCAGUGUAAUCAGGGGAUCUUUGCAAGAGGGUGGCAGGAGGGUCAGAACCAGAGAGGAGGAGCCAUGGAAGGAAAGGUUGGAGUGAUAUGAGGAAAGGGCCAGCAGCCAGGAAAUGUAGGUGGCCUCUAGGAUCUGGACGGAGCAGGGCAAUAGAUUCUUCCCCAAAGCCACCAAAAGUCACGCAGUCCCCCAACACCUUGACUGUGAGACCCAUUUUGGACUUCUGACCUCCAGAACUGUAAGGUAAUACACUCCUAUUGUUAGAAGCCACUAAGUUUAUGGUCGUUCAUUAUAGCAGCGGUGGGGACUUGUACAGCAUGUUAAUCAAACGCUUUCAGUUAAAAGGGAAAGCAACCCAAACGGAAUUAAAGGUAAAUAGGGGUUUUUUGGCUCACAUAACUAGACGUUCAUAGCUACCUUCAGAGAUAGCCGAGUUCAGGGGCUCAGACCAUGUCAUCAGGAGACCCUGAGUUUGCUGCUCUCGACUCUACUUCCCUUCCGAGGGUUGGCCUUCUCCCCCGGUCCAGCCACCCUUCCUCUGCAUCUGGCUUGUUGACAUGUCUACCAGCUGUCCCAGGGCUAUAGCAUCAUGACUUAUAAUCAGCCAGAAAGUGUGAGCCUCUGUCUUCCAGUGACUGUGGGUCAGAUCCCACAGGAGGACUCACAAUGGCCACAUACAUACCUCCUGGACCAGUCCCUACAGCCCAGGUCAUGAUAAACCAUAACUGGCCGGGACUGACCACACACCCUGUUGGGGGAGGGGUGGAGCACAGGAACGGGCAGCCAAACAAGAAUCAUGCCAUUCACAGAGGGGGUAGGGGGGUGGGAAGUGACAGUCCCUCAAAGAAGUAAACAGAUAAGGACAGAUGCCGGACAGACAGGAACAACAGCUGCUUACUCCCUUAAUAGAUCCCUAAUACGCAUAUUUAUGACAUGUUUUAAAGCUGACUACCUUUGGGGCGCCUGGGUGGCUCGGUCGGUUGAGUGUCCGACUUCGGCUCCGGUCAUGAUCUCACGGUCCGUGGGUUCGAGCCCCGCGUCAGGCUUUGUGCUGACAGCUCAGAGCCUGGAGCCUGUUUCAGAUUCUGUGUCCCCCUCUCUCUCUGCCCCUCCCCUGUUCAUGCUCUGUUUCUCUCUGUCUCAAAAAUAAAUAAACGUUAAAAAAAUUUUUUUUUAAAAUAAUAAAGCUGACUACCUUUAAUCAUUGGUAACAGAAACUAUGCCAAGUGGCUAAAUAGCACAGCCUUAAAGUCAGGUCUGGGUUCAGAUCCUGCCCCAGCUGUGCAUUAGUUUGGGCAAAUUAUCAAAUUGAUCUAACUUUAGCUUUUUCAGCUACAAAAUAAACAUAAUGAUAACCACCUCAUAGUGUUUAACGAGGAAUAAGUGGUAUAAUGUAAGGCAGUUAAUUUGACAUGAUGCCUUGCACAUAGUAAGUACUUAAGGGAUAUUAAUUAUCAUCAUUACCAUCCUCAUUAUUAUAGCAACAACAACCUUUUCCCAGGAGAGUAAACUUGAGGCAUGUUGGUGAACAUAAUCACUUUACUUGCCUGAAAAAAUGAAGAUGAAGAGCUCAAGGCCAAUGUCCGGCAUGGGGACAAUAGUUAAUAACACUGUAUUGUAUAUUUGAAAGUUGUGAAGAGAGUAGAUCUUUUUUUUUUAUUAAAAAAACUUUUUUAAUGUUUUAUUUAUUCUUGAGAGAAGGAGAGGCAGAGCAUGAAUGAGGGAGGGGCACAGCAAGAGAAGGAGACACAGAAUCCGAAGCAGACUCCAGGCCAGGCUGUCAGCACAGAGCCCGAUGUGGGGCUUGAACUCAUGAGCCGUGAUAUCAUGACCUGAGCCAAAGUCGGACGCUCAACCGACUGAGCCGCCCAGGCGCCCCGUGAAGAGAGUAGAUCUUAAGUUCUCAUCACAAGAAACAAAAUUUGUGACUCUGUGUGGUGAUGGACAACUACCUUACUGUGGUGAAUGUUUUACGACGUAUACAAAUAUUGGGUCAUUAUGUUGUACACCUGAAACUAAUAUAAUGUUAGAUGUUAAUUUUAUCUCAGUAAAAAAAAGUAUUCACUGACUUGUGCUAUUAAAAAAAAAAAAAGGAACUGGGCACCUGGGUGGCUCAGUUAGUUAAGCAUCCGAUCCUUGGCUUUGGCUCAGGUCAUGAUCUCACGGUUUGUGAGAGUGAGCCUGCAUCGGGCUCUGCGCUGACAGUGCAGAGCCUGCUUGGGAUUCUCUCUGCCUCUCCUGAACUCUCUCUCAAAAUAAAUAAAUGAGCUUUAAAAAAAAAUAGGGGCGCCUAAGUGGUUCAAUCGGUUAAGUGUCCAACUUUAGCUCAGGUCAUGAUCUCACGGUUCGUGAGUUCAAGGCCUGCGUCGGGCUCUGUCCUGACAGCUCAGAGCCUGGAGCCUGCUUUAGAUACUGUGUCUCCCUCUGUCUGCCCCUCUGCUGCUUGCACUCUCUCUCUCGCAUUGUCUUAAAAAUAAAUAAACAUUAAAAAAAUUUUUUUGAUAAAAAAUGAAAAUAAAGAGAGCUGAAGUCAAGGCCACUUUGUGGAAGUGAGUGCAAAGAACUUGUAACUGUGGGAGAUUUGUAAAUACAAUAGUUAUCCUCCAUUUAGGACAUUUCAUGAUAUCAGAAUUAUAUAGAUUAUUUGCUCAAUUUGAUAAUUCAGUCAACCCAAUAAAUAUAUAGAAGGGACCUGGAAAACAGUGUUUGUUAUCCAAGUAUUACUUUCCCUCUGCGAUUUUUACCACCAAUCCUGUAAAAAGCCACAGGCUUUUUAUUUAUGAAGCCUUCUAUUAUAACUUCAGGCCUAGAUAACCAAGUGAAUCUGUGCUUUUUAAGAAAAAUAAUUGGAAAUAUUGGGAUUGGGAUUGGCAUGUGGCAGGCAGGGACAGGUAUGAGGUGUGGGAUUGGAAAGGCCAAAAAAAAUAACAAGAAUGUGGAGAGGGGAAAAUGUGGAGAUUUCCUUUUAUGGUUGUUCUAAGUGGUUUCUGAUCAAAGGGGCAUUAAGGCUUGAUUUUAAAGGUUCUGGAUUUCUUUUCCCAGAGACCAAACAAGCCAGGGUCAGAGCUGACCUGAGAGAGUGCCCGCCCUGUCAUUCUUCACAGCAACCUGGGACAGGGUGGAAACUGCUCCAGCUGGGCCCAGGCCUGCAGUCAGAGGUCAGCAUGCAGAACCUCUUUGAAGUUCCUUUCAUUAUUCAUUCACUUGAACCUUGAUUUUUAGGCAGGUCAACUGGUACCUUUUAGCUAUUCUGCAUUCUUUGGGUAACUGUAUUAGACUGCCCUGCACUGGCUGCCGUAACAAAAUAGCACAGGCUGCGUGGCUUAAACAAAUUUUUUUUGUUUAAUUUGCACAAUUCUGGAAGCUCGGAGUCCCAGAUCAAAGUGCUAGCUGAUUCUGAUCCUGGUAAGAGCUCCUUUCCUGGCUUGCCGAAGGCCACCCUCUUGCUGUGUCUUUACAUGGCUGUCCUUAGGUGUGUGCAAGCAGACAGAGGGAGAGACAGAGCUCUCCGGUGUUCCUCUAGUGAAAACACUAAUGCUGUCUGAUCAGAGUCCCACCCGUGUGACCUCACUUAACCUUAAUUACUUCCUUAGAGGCCCCAUCUCUAAAUACAGCCACACUGGGGGAUCAACAUAUGAAUAUUUGGGGAACACAAAUAUUCAGUCCAUAGCAGUAACAUAUGUACCAGCACAGAGUAAAAGUACCUUCUAUUUCAAAGCUGGAUCGUUAGACCUUUGCUCAGACAAAUUUGGUUUUCCCAUCUUGAUUUCACUUCUUUGCCAGCAGGGUAGUCGUAAAUGAAAAAAGAGGCAUAGGAGGCAAAAAAAAAAAAAAAAAAAUUAAUAUUACCUGCCCUCUCCUGGCUACAGAUGGGUAUUGAAACCAAGCCCUGCCACACCAAAAACCUGAUUCUUGAGCAGAGGAACCUGGCACACCACCCCCGACAACAAUCUGUGUGUUAGCACAUCCUGCCAGAUCCCUGGGACUGCCCUGGUCCCUGUCCUUUACAGCUCUUGUCUGGAAACAAGGGUGCUAUAGACUGAUAUUAUGUGCCCCCCACAUUCAUAUGUUGAAGUCCUAAUCUUUGAGGUGAUGGUUUAGGAGGUGGGGCCUUUAGAAGGGAUUAGACCAUGAGGUUGAAACCCUCAUGAAUGGGAUUAGCGCCCUUAUAAAAGAGAGCCCACGAGCGUCUGGGUGGCUCAGUCCGUUGAGCAUCCGUCUCUUGAUUUAAGCUCAGGUCAUUAUCCCAGGGUCUUGGGAUCAAGCUCCACAUCAGGCUUUGUGCUGAACGUGGAGCCAGCUUAAGAUUCUCUCUCUCUUUCCCUCCCUCUGCCCCUCUCCCCAACUUGUGCUUUCUCUCUCUAAAAAAUAAAAAAAUUAAAAUUAAAAAUUACCAAAAAAAAAAAAAAAAAGUUCAGAGAGCUCCCUCGCCUCUUCUGCCCUGUGAAGUUAUAAUGAGAAGACAGCCAUCUAUGAACCAGGAAGCCGGCUCUCGCCAGACGCCAAAUCUGUCAGUGCCUGGAUCUUGGACUUCCCAGCCUCUGGAGGUGUGAGGAAUAAAUGUUUGUGGUUUAUAAGUCACCCAGUCCACAGUAUUUUGUUAUAGUAGACCAAAUGCACUAAGACAGAGAGAGGGUACAUGAAAACCGCAGUAGGUGUGUUUGGGAGGUGUGGAUUGUUUGAAAGAAAUGUCCAGAUUCUGAGCUUUCAUAAGGAUCCAGUGCUUGUGGUUAAUAUACUUUGUCACAAUCUUUCUACUUUGCGAGGGAAAGGCACGCUUCUCUCACAUCCAGUAUCUUAGCAGACUUUAUUUUCCCUAGGGUAUGUACCAAAAGCAGAGACAAUUCAAAAUAUUAGUGGAAGUGUUGAGAAAGUGAAUGACUGUAGUCAGUGACAUGCCAGUUUUUAGAUCCCACGUGGCUUCCGAUUUUUGGUUUUAACAAAAUUGAAGGAGGAUUUAAUCAAGCUAUCAAUUGACAGAUCAUCACAAAUAUUUUUUAUUUUGAUCAACCGCUGUGUGAUAUUUAGCCUAUCAUACAGGAGUUCAAAGAACUGAAUAAUACUGCUGUGAUAAAACUCCUUCUAGGAUUACCCAAUUAAAUUUGAAUUUUAGAUGGAAAACAUGUAAUUUUUAAUAAGUAUAUCCCAUGCAAUGUUUGGGAUAUACUUAACUAGAAUAAUUAUUCGUUGUUUACCUGAAAUUUAAAAUUCAAUGGUGUGGGGGGGGGCGGGGGUGCCUGGGUGGCUCAGUUGGUUAAGCAUCCAGCUCUUGAUUUCAGCUCAGAUCAUGAUCUUGCAGUUUGUGAGAUCAAGCCCCGUGUUGGGUUCUGUGCUGAUUGCAUGGAGCCUGCUUGAUAUUCUCUCUGCCUCUCUCUCUCUCUCUGUCCCUCCCCUGCUAGUGCUUUGUCUCUGUCUUGCUCUCUCAAAAUAAAUAAAUAAACAUGAAAAAGAUUAUAAAAAAAAUAACAAUUCAAUUGAGUAUCCUAUAUGUUUGGGGGACAAAAGGGGUUAAAUCUGGCAACCCUAUUUUAUCCCCAUCUAUGUGAGUAAGAUUUCUCAGUAUCAGAACUAUAACAAUGAAAAAUAGAAAUAGCACUGAUGCUGAAGUCUGCCUCAUGUUAGCAGUAAUAUUCUUUAAUGAAUACAUGAAUUAAUUAUAAAAGCAAAUAAAACAGCAUCCAUCUCAUAAGAGAGGCAUUCAAUAAAAUUUUAUUUCUGUAUUAGGAUUUAUCAAAAUGUAUAUAUUAUAUUAAUCAGUUUUAUACUUCUUUUUUUAAAUUUUUUUAACGUUUAUUUAUUUUUGAGACAGAGAGAGACAGAGCAUGAACAGAGGAGGGUCAGAGAGAGAGGGAGACACAGAAUCUGAAACAGGCUCCAGGCUCUGAGCAGUCAGCACAGAGCCCGACACGGGGCUCGAACCCACAUACCGUGAGAUCAUGACCUGAGCCAAAGUCGGACGCUUAACCGACUGAGCCACCCAGGUGCCCCAAUCAGUUUUAUACUUCUAAAAUUGAUUAAUAACUGCAGAAUACAUUUUUAAUACCUUAGAGUUUUAUAAUCCCAAGAUAUUUAAAAAUUUUAAAUAUCCGUAAAUGUAGUAUUUUUAUUACAGAGAAGUAUAACAGGAUGAAAUCGAAAAGACUUGCAAAUACAAAAUUCAGCAGAGUAAGUAGAAUGAAAAUACGAGUGAAAACAUAAGAGGAACACCUGUAUGGCUCAGUCAGUUGAGCAUCCAACUUCAGCUCACGUCCUGCCUAAUCUUGUGGUUUGUGAGUUCGAGCCCUGCAUCGGGCUCACUGCUGUCAGCGCAAAGCCUGCUUCAGAUCUUCUGUCCUCUUCUCUCUCUGACCCUCCCCUGCUCAUGUUCUCUCUCUCAAAAAUGAAUAAAACAUUAAAAAAAUUUUUUUAAACACAAGAGUAAAAGGGAAUGAUGUAAAAUUUUCAACCACUGAAGAAGAAUCUGCUCACAUUUUGGGUUGUUUGGGAUUUCUUAAUGGAUGAUGAUAGAUUCCAAAUUGCUGGGAAUUUAGAUUCCAUCGGAUACACUUAAGAGAGUGGUGUAACAGAUUUUAUUUUUAAAGGCCAGUAUUUGCUAUAUCCUAGAAAUCUCAUGCCUUGAUACUUUAAAACUUAUGAUGAGUGAGUUUAGACAACCAACCUAAAACUGUAAAGAUAGUACAUCGCCUUUCAAUGUUCCUGUGGGAUGUAAGGGGACCAAAAAUGUUUUGAGGCCGCUGUGUUUUAAGGCCCAAAUGCUUGGUUUUCUCUCUUGUUCUGUGAGCUGCUCCCAGGCCUCCCAGUCACUGCUUCUGCCCACUAGGGUCAGGCACAAUGGCUCUCCAUCACUGAUAGAGAGGCAGAAACGCCUCAUGAGCCAAUGACAAGUUCUUCUUAAUUGUUAUAAUGUGUAAAAUGCAAUCUUAGUAAUGAUGUUGCUUCCUUCAUCAUGUGUGUGUUUGCAUGUGUGCAUUUCUGUCUCUCCUAACAUACACCAAGUAUUCUUCCUGGUGCUUGGGAUACAUAGGGUAGAAAACAAAGGUCCUUGCCCCCGAGGAGGAGGCUGGGAAUGCAGUGUGCAUGUGCGUGUGUGUGCAUGGGUGUGCACAUGCGCUGUGUUAUGUAUGGGGUGGGGAAGUCAGAUAGUCUUUAAAAGGCAUAAUAAAUACACACAUGCUCUAGUUUGUUAGAAGGUGGUCAUUGCUAUGGAAAAAAGAAAACGUCAAAGGGAGCCUGGCUGCUCAGUUUGAAGAGCAUGUGACUGUUAAUCUCAGGGUCAUGAAUUCAUGCCCCAUGUUGAGUGUAGAGGUUACUUAAAAAUUAAAAAAUAAGUAAAGUUUAAAAAAGCGUCGAGCAAGAUUAGCAAGUUUGGGAGUCUGGGGAAGGACGAUGGUUGGAGUGUGAUUUUAAAUAGAUGGUUGAAUGUAGUCCUCCUUGAAAAGUCAGCCUUUGUGUACAGACCAGGAGGUGAGGGCGUGAGCCUGCCAGUGGGGAGAGCGUGCCAGGCAGAGGGAACAGCCUGCGCCAAGUCUCCAAGAGGCCUGUGCGCAGGGAGCAGAAGGGUACCUGGGUGAUGACAGCGACAAGGGAUCACGGGCCUUGUUAGUGACAAGGGAGCAGAGGAGUUAGGACUUACUUAGGACUUAGGUUUGAGAAAGAUCUCUCAAUCUGUAUAGCAAAUGGACCGGGUAGGGCUGGGGGGCAGGGAGGCCUGUUGGAAAGCUCUCCUCAUCCAGGGAGCGGUGAGGGUGGGAAGUGAGAGGGGUCUACCCAAAUGAGACGAGGGCAGUGGCAGAGGAGAUCAUGUUCCACAUCUCUCCCAUUUCCUGAUGCUUUGGAUGUGGGGUGCAAGAGAAAGGAAAGGAAGGGACUAGAAUGACUCUAGAGUGAUAAUAUACUAAUAUUUUAAAAAAUACGCCAAAAAUAUGCUCCUCUCUGCUACAUUCUUACUAAUCUCAGAUGUUUGGAGCCACUUUUAUAGAGGGCAGCUGUGGAACGUGGAGAAUGUACAAGAGGCCUUUUAGGAUGAUACUCGGGGCCCUACUUGGUUGCAUGCUCUCCUCAAGACUUUGAGGAAAGAAACAUGAGAAAGAAAGAACUGAACUGGAAUGAGUGGGAUUUGACAAUAGGCCUGAUAAUCCUCUCACGAGAAUAUCUCUGCUCAAAAUGUACAUAAAAUGAAGGAAAUAAUUAAUAGCAAAGUGUGUAAAGCCCCAUUCAUACAAUUCUGAACAGGCUUUUUUCCCCAUCCUUUUCUUUUCCAUGCAGCCCAACAGAGGGCAAGUUCAACUUCGAACCGGAUUACAAAGCCAUCUGGUGCUGAAACAGGGAAAACUGCUUCAGGGAAGGAGAGGAGAAAAAAAGGUACUUGGUUCAUGCUUCAACUCUCCUUCCCUCUUCCUUCAUCUGUAAAUCGCUUCCUCCUUUCCCGGGUUGUGCAGUCCUGCUACUACAGUAAUUACCCCAAACGGAAAAACUCACUUGGAGAGAAAGAAGACUCCGUGUCUUGUGGUUUCACGGAAACCAAACACAGAACAGCUUGGCCUUGUCCACCAGAGGGAUUUCUUCGGCACAUUCAGCAAGCCAGCAUCCAUUAGGGGGCGUGGGCUCGUUUGGCAGUAUCUGCAGUAAACAGCUAGCGGGACCUGGUUGAUUCAGCUUGGAGACUUCUCUUCUACCCUCAUUGCUUAGCAUCAGAAACGGAGUCAUUUAGAGGGAAUUUUAAGAAAUCACCAACUCCAUAACCUCUGAGCAGGACUGAACAAAGUGAGAAGCUCUCCAAGCAUUAAAGGUUCAAAGCUCAGCAUUAGGGAACAUGGGUUCUGUGCCCAGCGCUUGCCCUGGUGCCUGUAUCUCAGCAUCCUAUUCUGCAAACCAAAGAAUUUGUGCUCACAGCUUCCUAAAUUCCACUCCAGCUUUAGCAUUUUGAGGACACAGCACAAGGGGCACCUUGGUGGCUCAAUUGGUUAAGCAUCCAACUUCGGCUCAGGUCAUGGUCUCUUGGUGGGUUCGAACCCCACAUAGGGCUCUCUGCUGUCAGCACAUAAUCUGGUUCAGAUCUUCUCUCCACCUCUCUCUCUGCCCCUCCCCUGCUCACACAUACUCUCUCUCUCAAAAAUAAAUAGACAUUAAAAAAAGUAAAGAUAAGCACAAGAUGAUCACUAGAGGUGUCAUGAGCACAGUCUGGGAAACUCUUUGUGGAGGCUAACCUAAACUCAUGUUGUUUUGUGUUAGUCCAUUAUAUAUAUAUAUUUUUCAUACAAUUAGUGUGUGGAAGGUGACAGGCCUUUGUGAUGUAACUCGUUGCCCUGUGCCUUUUUCUUUCUCAAUUUUAAUCUGUUUUUGUGGUCUUUUUCCUAUUUUUUAAAUUAUCCUGUGUCUCCUCUGUGAAAUCUCUCUUAAUUAGAUAAAUACAAAUUCUUAGGAUCUAAAAAGCCAAAUGAAAGUGAAAAGUGAGAAAAUUUAUUAGACCUGUCUCUGUCAUCUUGUAUAAAUACAGUCUUUCCACUGGGUAGUACUAGUAUAUUUUGGAAAACCUACUAAAAGAAAAAAAAAAGAAUAAUAAUAAGAGCCAUUCUAGGUUAUCACUUGUUUUAGACAUUUAUUUACCAUUUAGGGAUAUUUUCAAUCAAAAAUCCUUUCGGAGGAGUUGAUUUUUGAGCAUUCCUUUUGGGAUGAGGAUGAUCAUUGGUCUCCAAGGCAGGUGGCCCUACAGAGGACAGUCCUUACACUGGGCCAGAUGACAUCUGAAGGCAGAGGACUGCUGGGUCACUAGUUCUAACUCUCCAUAUAGAUCUAGCAGAAAGUGGUAAUGAGGACAAAGACUGAAUCUGUGUAUCACGCUGUGCGGUUAACUUGACAUUGCACCAAGACCCAAAGGUCAAAAUCUGUAUGGGAACUUCAAGACUUCUCAAGGCUGGAGAGAGGUUCUGACCACUUCUAUUUGUUGAGACUUCCUGAUUAAAAAAAAAUUUUUUUUUAAGCAAAGAAGGUUAAAAAAUUUCAUAAUACUUAAAGUCUUUAUGUUUAACAAGCUAGCUCUUCUAAUACAUAUAAAAACAUAGAGAAUGCAUGCAUAACCUCAAUAGGCAAUGACAGCAGAGUCUGAAUGUAAGGCCUUCGUGAAUGACACCUCCUGUGUGCCACCAUCCCGACCCAAGCCCCCCAACCCCCCACCCUAAUGUAGGCCUGGAAAUGUGUAACCCUCAAGAAGGUAGAUAGUUUGAGAGAAAGGUCAAAAAGAGAGCAAUACAACUGUUCAUCCUCCAGCUUUUAAAUAAUAGCUUUGUUGAGGCCCAUGUCACAAUAAUACCUUUCAGCUGCUAAAACCUGGCACAAAAAUAUCAGGCUUGCCUCUUUUGACCUUAAACAACAGAAAUAUAUUGUCUCACAGUUCUGGAGCCUGGAAGUUAAGAUCAAGAUGUCGGCAGGGCUGGUUCCUUCUAGAUGUUCUGAGGGGGAAUCUGUUCCAUGCCUGUCUCCUAGCUACUGGUGGCUUGUUGGCAAUCUAGUGUUCCUUGGCUUAUAGAUGCAUCACCCCGACCUUGGCCUUCAUGUUCCCCACACAUUCUCCCUGUGUGCAUCUGUGUCCAAGAUUUCCUUUUUAUAAGGACAUCAGUCAUACUGGAUUAGGGGCCAACUCUACUCCAGUCUGACCUCAUCUUAACUAAUUACAUCUGCCAUGACCUUACAUCCAAAAAAGAUCACAUUCUGAGGAGCUGGGACUUAGGACUUCAACAUAGGAAUUUGGGGAGGGAACACAACUCAGUUCAUAACAGGGGGGGUUCAGAAUGUAGUUUAUAAACAGGAUACACAUCUAGGAAAACAAAUAGCCACACAAGGCAGCAUCUUUCAGGGGCCAAACAUGGACACUGGGUUUAGAGAACCCAGUGAACUCAGAGAACCCAGGGAUGGACACUGGGUUCAGAGAAGGGCAUUGUUCCCCAGGGGUGAAACUGAGGAGGAGUUAGAAGUUGACAUGUGGAAAGAAAGGACUUACAGGAAGAAGGAUUUGAGAGAGGAGAGAGGCUUAACAGUGCAAGCCCGAAAGCCUACAAGUUUAGCUGGAACAAGAGGAUGUGGGUGGGUGGACCUGUCAAAAACGCUAGGUCACAUUAAGGAAGACUUUGCAUGUCAGGCCCAGAGUUGGGACUUGAUCCAGUAGACAGUGGGAGCCAUUAAAGUCUUUUGGCUCUCAAGGGAUUCUGUGCCUCAAAUGAAUAGAAAAAAAAAAUCCUGUGUUUAAUACAUAUUUAUUUUAUAGCUUCUUGUCAGAGCAGACCAUUUUCCAGAGUUCACAAAGCAAGUGAAAAAAUAGCUUCCCACAUUGGAUAAUUACUUUCAGUCAUAAGGUAUUUGGUUGGGGGUGAGUUUUGUCUUUGGUAGAAGAGUUCUACCUGCAUCAAAAUAAAGAGUCAGAUGGAGCUGAUUUAUAUUAAUCUCUUAAGGGUGGAGUCCAGAUGGUUUCCAUUUGGUCCCAAUUGGAAACAGCAAAACUAUUUGUAUGCUUGCCCCUUUGUGGACAGGAGGCUUUGGCCUGUUGCUUGGAAAGUUGAACUCACAAUACUGUAUGAAUCAAAACCUCCAUUCAGAAGCCUGACACCCUUUAUUAUUCCUCCUGAAACGUGUAAUUACAAGAACCUGACAAUUUUACAUUUAGCAGCCAGUUGUAGGUUGAUAGAAGAGGAAAAGUAUUCCAUUUCUGUGCCUGCAGAAUUUAGACAUCUGUUCAUCUAAGCCAGUCCUGCCUCGAAGCAGCACUGAACAUGAAGAUUCAUUAGAUCAGUGGUUCUCAAGCUCAAGCAGCAUCAGAGGCACCCAGUAGGCUCAUUAAAACACAGAUUGUGGGGCCCUGCCCCACAAAGCACCGAAUCUGUAGGCAGAGGUAAGGCUGAAGAGCUUACAUUUCUAUCAAGUUCCCAAGUGUUGCUGAUGCUGUUAGCCCACUUUGAGAUCCACUGCUUUAGAAUUAAAAGAAAAUCAGAUCACCUUCUCUUGAUUUAUUUUGCUCAGUGAAGAAAAUCAGGAGGCAGAGUAAGACUUCUAGAUGCCUCUUCUUUGCCUUGGACACCACAGAACAAACAGGACCCAGGCUUGUUUCUGCUCCAGCUUCUCUGUCUCUUCCAGACCCAGUCUGGCCUAUGUCUGAGCCCCCUGGCUCUGUACUAGGGGUGUGUGGGAUUUGGGAACCCUGGGUCUGAAGGGUGAUUAACACUCAAGUGAGUGAUAUCUGUUCUGGCCUAUGCCUAAUCACAAGCCUGUCAGGUCCAUAAAGAGCCAGAAUAUGGCAAAAGAUGGGAGGUCACCGAAUGGUCAUCAGGAAUAGUCUUCUGCAGAUAAGAUAGCGUCCCUGAGCCCCAUUCAGCAGGUCCUGCCAUGUCACCUCAAGGCCCCAAAAGUUGCUAAAAGACUCAGCAAGGACUCAGGCGUGCCCUGUCACCUGGGCCUGCUCUGUUUCCUAGCCCAAACCCCACACUGUAGCUUCUAGGUGUCUUAAUUGUCAAGGAUUUAGGACUAGGAGGGCCAGUACAUGACUUAGACAUGUACUGAGAGCAAAAUCCAACCAUAAAAUGGUCAGUCUACAAGCUUGAGAUUGAUCAGACCUUUGCUACAGUACCAAUGCCACCCAAGUGCCAAAUUCACUUCCCCAAAGAAGGCAUUGUUUAUAACAUAGCCGUGGUCCAUAGGAACACUUUGGCAUUAAGGAAUGCAAGCAUCAAGUUUAAAAGACAAGAUGUAAUCUUCAAAACAGUUUUAUUGGUUCCAGAUCCAGAAGUUACUGAUUAAUAUACUGAAAUUAUUUUACUUGGGAUUUUAUCCUGGAGUGAUAGUCAAACAAUGGAAACCUUUGUGGACAUGUUCCAAGGUCCAAGGUGUGAAUCACCCAACACUAAUUACACUUUGCCUCCUUAAGUCCUGCAGUCAGUGUUCUGGUUUAUAAAUCUGUGGUAAUUACAUAGGAAAUCACACAUAUUCCUUGUUGAUGGAAGGAAACUAUUUUAAGCAAGUUUUGUUUGUUUUUUUUUUAAUCAGCCUUAUUAAGAAGAAGGUCCUGCUCAGACCUGGCAUCUUUAGAUGAACAUUUGAGUAGUUCUUAAGCCAAAUAGAAUGUGUGAUGUCCAAGAGAAUAUGCAAUGCGCAGCUGUCCUGGUGAUCCCAGGAGACACCAGAGAGUGAGGGGAAAAAAUGAGGAACCUCUCUGGGGGAGCUUCUGGUUCCAUGAAAAUUUUUUACACUUGACCUUUGAGUACUGGCCCACAUAGGAAAUAGAGUUCUUUCCAGAAAGACUGAAAAGAGGUUUAUCAACUGGGAAAGAGAGGGCAUUCUAGGCAAAGGGAACCACAUGAGAAAAGGCUCAGGGGGUGAAAGUGCACAGAGUGUUCAGUGUAUGGGAAAUGUGAUGUUCACUGCAUAGUGGUCACUGAGAGAGUGGCUGGAGGUGUAGCUGAAAAGGCCAGAGGACCCACGUGGCCAAAAAGCCAUGAAUACAGUUGAGUUGGGGUUUCUGCUGUGUGCAAAGUUAGAGCCAUGAUUCCUCUGAAGCAAGGCAGUGACAUGAUGAGAAUUGGAUUUUUGAAAAGAACCUUGGGCAGCAUUGCAGCAUGUGUUUUGGAAAAAGGGACAUCCGGGUGAAGGGAGAGAGACCAGUUUGGAGGCUAUCACGAUAGUUCAGACAUGAGGAGCAAAAGUGCAGAGUGCAGUGAUAGAAAGAUGGUCCAGGUAUAUUUAGGAGGGAAAUCUGAAAGGACCAGAUAGCCAGUUCAAUGAGGGUGAAAGAUUCUGCAGUCAGGGACAGUUGGGGGAUCUUGGCAAUUAACCACAGAGAAAAUGGGAUGAAGCACAAGGUUGGGUGAGUCCAGACGGAUCUGUGGAGAGACUUCCAGAGGAGGUGUGCAAUUAUAAGAAGUAUGUAUCUGAUCCUCAGGGAGGCGGUGGCAGAAGGGGAGAUACCUUCCACAAGGAGGUUUUCCAGCAGGGCCGCUCUCAUUCCAGUGUUUCAAUGACUUACAGUUUCCAGAAAUGAAACUGAGAAGACAGGCAGUAACAUUUGUUGUGUACUAAGUACCUCUACAACCAUUACUUCACCAUGCUUCCCAGUCGAUCCUCCCAGUGCAUCUAGGAAGUGAGUAUUAUCUCUGUUAGAGCAGCGAGGAAACUUGGGUUCAGAGAAGGUAAGUGGCUUUCUGGGGAGUCCCACAGAGUUUUUUAGAGAGAGGUUUUAAACCCAGGGAUUCUGCUUUCUCUACACCCUCCUGCCUCUUAGUCACAAUUGGCAUUGCUGUGCCGCCACUAAGUUCUCGGAGACAGAGGAGUGUAAAUUAAAAUAGUCAUUGUCUGUGAACUUGUUUUUGUUUUAAAGAAAUGUUAAGAUUGGGGGAAAAUAGGUUGGGAUGAAUACAGCUGGGGUGGAUCAAGUAUUACCAGGGGCUGAGUAUGUACUCACCUUUCUUUACUCUGAGGAAUUUGUUUACUAUUCAGAGAAAAGUAUUUGGUUCUGCUUAAAUUUUGGAUAAAGGCCCAAAGGAGGAAAUCCCUGUGCUAAGCAACAUCAGUCUUCCUACCCUCUGACAGGGCACUGUGACUCCCUAAAUUCUGCAGAAUGGUUUGGACCAGCACUUUCCAAAUUGGUUAUUUUUCAUGAGCAGAGAUGACAUUGCGACCUUGCUUUCCACCAGUUGGAGGGGAAUUUGGAUUGCUUUUCCCCUGGGGAUGCAAGUUGUACCAGGCCAGUCACAGGCCCGGAAGCCCCCUUCCUCUCCAAUUGCAUACAUUUGUGCUGUGCUGGCUAAGUCGGUGGGGUGGCAGGGGUAGACUCGCAAAAACUGUUUCUUUCCUUGUAGUGCUCUAGUGCUCAGCAACUGCACAGGAAUUUGGCCUUUGGCCUUAGCUACACUGGCCUCAUGUUUCAUCACCACUGCUUUCUGGCAAAAAGGGGACAAUAAGAAACGAGUGCCACAUGUGAUCAGUAUCCACAUCAUUAAUUAUUCUGAGCAGUAAACUUAACUUUUCAAAGGCACUAUGUUUGUGAAGAGAUUUUAUAAAUAGAAAAGUCAUACCCUAUUCGUGUUCAUAAAUGGUCUCAAGGCAUUAUUAGUUCCCUUGUACUUGGAAAAACAAUAAACAGUGAGAUAAAAGUUUCCACAGUAUGAUUACACUCUAUACUCUAUUAUUCAUUGAUUCAUUCAUUUGUUCAAUGGUUAUUAAACACCCACAGUGUGUCAGAUACCGUCCUAAUAUAUUAGCACUGUUAAAUUAUUUAUAACAGCUGUCAUUUGCCAUCAUUCCCAUGCCCUGGAUGUAAGAACAAAUACAUUUGGACAAGUUAGGCUUACCCCCAAUGAAACUAAAUGAUGGGCUAGUUUUCAUCCCUCCAACUGUGUUUUGAAGGAAAAUAACAAAAAGUCCAGCUAUAGCACCUUUCCCUAAAAGGAAAAUAACAAAAAGUCCAGCUAUAUCACCUUGCCCUAAAAAGUCAUUCUCUUUCAUGAAUUGAAAACUUAUACUUGGUUAUCAUUGACUCUUCUCUCUUCCGUGUUCUUCCUACACACUAGAUAGCGAUCACUUCAUGUCAGCUUCAGAUGGCAGGGAGUUUGUCUCUUCUGUUCCCUGUUGGAUUCCCAGCACCUAGGACAGUGCCUGACAUCUGGUAGAGCUCAAAAAUAUCUGUUGAAGGGGCGCCUGGGAUGGGGAUCUGACUUCGGCUCAGGUCAUGAUCUCACAGUCCUUGAGUUUGAUCCCCACGUCGGGCUCUGUGCUGACAGUACAGAGCCUGCUUAGGAUUCUCUCUCUCUCUCUCUCUCUCUCUCUCUCUCUCUCUCUCUCUCUCCCCCUCUCUCUACCCUUCCCCCCUUGCUCUCUUUCUCUUUCUCUCUCUCAAAAUAAAUAAAUAAAAUUUUAAACAAAGAACAUACUCUUUUAAAAAAAUGUGUUGAAUGUUGAAUGAAUUCAAGUACAGAAGAGUCCUGUCUAGCCCUUGGGAUUAGGUUCUCAAGUCAGCAUAUUAGGCAAAAUCAGUGUAUAGCUAAAUGAUUCUUUUUUUAAAAAAAAAUUUUUUUAACGUUUAUUUAUUUUUGAGACAGAGAGAGACAGAGCAUGAACAGGGGCGGGGCAGAGAGAGAGGGAGACACAGAAUCUGAAACAGACUCCAGGCUCUGAGCUGUCAGCACAGAGCCCGACACGGGGUUUGAACUCACGGACCGUGAGAUCAUGACCUGAGCCGAAGUCCGACGCUUAACCGACCAAGCCACCCAGGCACCCCUAGCUAAAUGAUUCUUUACAAUCCUUUAAACUGUACCCCAGUGUUUAUAGCAGCACUUUCAACAAUAGCCAAAUUAUGGAAAGAGCCUAAAUGUCCAUCAACUGAUGAAUGGAUAAGGAAAUUGUGGUUUAUAUACACAAUGGAAUACUACGUGGCAAUGAGAAAGAAUGAAAUAUGGCCUUUUGUAGCAACGUGGAUGGAACUGGAGAGUGUUGUGCUAAGUGAAGUCAUACAGAAAAAGACAGAUACCAUAUGUUUUCACUCUUACGUGGAUCCUGAGAAACUUAACAGAAGACUCUGGGGGAGGGGAAGGAAAAAAAAAUUAUAGAGGGAGAGAGCCAAACCAUAAGAGAUUCUUAAAAACUGAGAAUAACUGAGGGUUGAUGGGGGGUGGGAGGGAGGGGAAGGUGGGUGAUGGGUAUUGAGGAGGGAACUUGUUGGGAUGAGCACUGGGUGUUGUAUAGAAACCAAUUUGACAACAAAUUUCAUGUUAAAAAAUAAAUAAACUGCCCACACAAUAAAUGUAUAGAGGUAUAUUAUUUCCAAGUCCCGUGCAGUUUCUUGCCAACUUUGGAACAGGUCAUUGUUUGUUAGCUAAGCCCCAGAUGAAGUAGUUGGCUAGUGUUUAGGGGGUUAUAUUGUACACAAAGCAUAUAAUUUCAAACACUUGGAGGCAAUCUGGCUUUGGGACCAGAGACUCAGAUUUCCCAUCUCACACUUACUGAGUGAAUUAGCUGGCAUGUCCAUGGCUAUUUAUUCUUCUGCAUCCUCUUCCUGUCUUUCUCUUUGCCAAACUCCUAAACUUGAAUGGGUAUAAAUUAAAUGUGUACAUGAUGCCAUUCCAUAGCACUGAGUGACACUGAACUUCAUAAAAGCUGAAUGGACCAAUGGGGGUAAAUUAGAUUCCAGGACCACUGACCUCAGUCAUGAAGUCUACAAAGGCAAGAUGGUUCUUUCUACUUCACAUUUGUCCUCCUAGAGUUCAAAAAAUGUGACAACUUUGCAGAUUCUGAAUCCCUGGGUAAGGACUAUCACUUCCCUAGGAUCAGUGAACAACUUGCUUAUCUUCUACUAGGAAAUUUCUAGAAACAUUGAUUUUCCUCUUUAGCCAGAGUAAAGGCAACAAUUUAAAUCUUAAGUGAGAUUUCCUUUCAUACAGAGCAAUUUGGGACUUGCUAUUAUAAAGAAUAAAGGAUGUACUGAGUACUUUUUUAAAGGAUUUCUUAAAUUACAUCUAUUUCCUUGAAUAUAUUCCAAAAUAAAUCUACUCACACAAGUCAGAUAAGUAUAAUCUUAAAAAUAAAAUCAACUUAUCUGGUGGUAAGUGGGGGAGCUAUUAUCUAAAAAUAACAAAAUACUAUUAUUUUCUUAUAGGAAUCAAAAAAAUUAAAGACUCGGCUGGUCCUUGGUUAGUGAAAUUGUAUUUGGCAGAUAAUGGCAUAGAUGGAAAAGGAAAAGAAGGAGAAAAUGGCUUGUUGGAAUUCACUCAAAUUUUAACAUG
rnacentral:lncRNA from 1 species